rnacentral:miRNA from 1 species
CAGGCUUCCUCAGCCUCGGCCCUCCAGAUGUUUUGAGACUACAAUUCCCAUCAUCCCUGAAACAAAAACAUCUGGAGGGUUGAGGUUGAGGAAGCCUG